rnacentral:rRNA from 1 species
GAUGAACGCUGGCGGCGUGCCUAAUACAUGCAAGUCGAGCGAACGGACGAGAAGCUUGCUUCUCUGAUGUUAGCGGCGGACGGGUGAGUAACACGUGGAUAACCUACCUAUAAGACUGGGAUAACUUCGGGAAACCGGAGCUAAUACCGUAUAAUAUUUUGAACCGCAUGGUUCAAAAGUGAAAGACGGUCUUGCUGUCACUUAUAGAUGGAUCCGCGCUGCAUUAGCUAGUUGGUAAGGUAACGGCUUACCAAGGCAACGAUGCAUAGCCGACCUGAGAGGGUGAUCGGCCACACUGGAACUGAGACACGGUCCAGACUCCUACGGGAGGCAGCAGUAGGGAAUCUUCCGCAAUGGGCGAAAGCCUGACGGAGCAACGCCGCGUGAGUGACGAAGGUCUUCGGAUCGUAAAACUCUGUUAUUAGGGAAGAACAUAUGUGUAAGUAACUGUGCACAUCUUGACGGUACCUAAUCAGAAAGCCACGGCUAACUACGUGCCAGCAGCCGCGGUAAUACGUAGGUGGCAAGCGUUAUCCGGAAUUAUUGGGCGUAAAGCGCGCGUAGGCGGUUUUUUAAGUCUGAUGUGAAAGCCCACGGCUCAACCGUGGAGGGUCAUUGGAAACUGGAAAACUUGAGUGCAGAAGAGGAAAGUGGAAUUCCAUGUGUAGCGGUGAAAUGCGCAGAGAUAUGGAGGAACACCUGUGGCGAAGGCGACUUUCUGGUCUGUAACUGACGCUGAUGUGCGAAAGCGUGGGGAUCAAACAGGAUUAGAUACCCUGGUAGUCCACGCCGUAAACGAUGAGUGCUAAGUGUUAGGGGGUUUCCGCCCCUUAGUGCUGCAGCUAACGCAUUAAGCACUCCGCCUGGGGAGUACGACCGCAAGGUUGAAACUCAAAGGAAUUGACGGGGACCCGCACAAGCGGUGGAGCAUGUGGUUUAAUUCGAAGCAACGCGAAGAACCUUACCAAAUCUUGACAUCCUUUGACAACUCUAGAGAUAGAGCCUUCCCCUUCGGGGGACAAAGUGACAGGUGGUGCAUGGUUGUCGUCAGCUCGUGUCGUGAGAUGUUGGGUUAAGUCCCGCAACGAGCGCAACCCUUAAGCUUAGUUGCCAUCAUUAAGUUGGGCACUCUAAGUUGACUGCCGGUGACAAACCGGAGGAAGGUGGGGAUGACGUCAAAUCAUCAUGCCCCUUAUGAUUUGGGCUACACACGUGCUACAAUGGACAAUACAAAGGGCAGCGAAACCGCGAGGUCAAGCAAAUCCCAUAAAGUUGUUCUCAGUUCGGAUUGUAGUCUGCAACUCGACUACAUGAAGCUGGAAUCGCUAGUAAUCGUAGAUCAGCAUGCUACGGUGAAUACGUUCCCGGGUCU